GUAAGAGACGAGAAGCCCAACAAGAUUUCAAUUCUUAGAGGUUGUAUGGGAAGAACAAGUGCCUUCUCCAUGUCUGUGGCAGUGUGAAGGACGAGAACGAACACAAAGAUCCUGAGGGACUGUGCUUUCCCUGGAGCUGGCUGUCAGUGUGAGGUGCCAAAACAGGAAGAGUAAUGAAAGUGUACUCAUCCUAUCUCACAUGUCAGGCAGAGGAAUGUGCAGCAGAAGGAGAUGAUGGGCAAGAGUGUUCUGGGGAAGGAUACGGAUAUCUGCUUCUGCUCUGCCACAUCCAUUUGAUCUGCAGUUGUCUUUGUCCCUUUAUUGUGGAAGACCUUCUUUCCAGAUUUAUUGCCAGCUGAUGAUAGGAUGCUUCUUCCACAUACAAACAGCUUGGGGUAAAAUUUCUCAGCCCAACACAGUGGCAAAGGAUGAAUUUUGUGGAAUCUUUCAGCUGAGGUGAAGAAGGGAUUGUGAGGAGCAUUUCCAUGUUGAGGGAACUAAAGGCUGGAUCAGAACAAGUUGUGUUGUAAUAAGCUUGGCGAUGCCUUGACAGUUUUGCAGAGCUGUUUAUAAGGUAUAUACAUACUUCAAAGACUGAACAUGGUCUGAGGGUGGGAAUUUGUAUG
rnacentral:lncRNA from 1 species